rnacentral:precursor_RNA from 1 species
UUAACCCUCAUUUUAGCGGCAGCAAGAACAGAACAAAAAAUUUAAACUACUGUUGAUUAAGUACUUAACAGAGUGAAAUUAAGGUUUAUUCAUUACCACCAACAUCAUCAUCUUCUUAUAUAUACUUCAAUCUUUUAGUACUGCAUCAGGCUUGCAGGAAAUACAAGCGGAUGUACUGAAAAAGGAACUGAAAAAUGUGAAUUGUUAAAGCACAGUACUACAGUUAUGUCAUCGAUCAUCUCAACCUAGCUAGCUAAAGCCAAAUCAAAGAAUAGUAUCCACAACGAAUAAACUAGAUAGAUUCUGAACUGAGAAUAAACCGGCCUCGAAAUUUCUCUCUUUAAUUUCUUCUCUUUCUCUAUCUCUGGCUCUCUCACAAGAAAACCCACUUCAUAAGAACCCUAGCUUGACUAAUAAGCUAUGAUUUGAUCCCAAAUCAACAAGAGAGAAGAAGAUAGGGACCUUAAAUUGUGUAAGAAGAGGUUCAUAUUAUAUAUAAACCUAAAUGAGCAAAUACGUACCAUUGUUUCAAAAUUUAAUGCAAAAAAAGAAGCCAGCAUCAUGUCUAUUAUUAGAGGAAUAAAUUAACCUAAGGGAACAGAUAAUGAGAUCAGUGCAGCAUAUGAAAAAACCUGAAAUAAGAAAUGCUUAAUUAGCCAAUUAUUUAACAAAACAAGUACGGCGUCGUCAAGGCUCAAUCACCAAAGCAGCAGGGGUGGGGGGAUCUAAGUUGCACGGAGACACGCAAUUCUGUCAUGCACACAAAACCCUAACAAUCCCAAGUAGGGAUUUCUGUCGCUGAAAACCCUAACAACGAUAAGCAUAUGUACUUGAUAUCUUAUUUUUUUGCAAAUCUCACAAAAUAAAUAAAAUGGAGCACAACAAUUAAUACACAGAAAUUGGAAAAACCCAAGAAACCCAGAUGAGUUAAAAUCAUGGAUAAGACGAUUACAUACCUUUUCUAGGGAUUAAUCAAGGAAACCCUAAUGGGGCAUGCGAUUAAACAAAGAAAUAGGAAAUAGCUAGGGUUUAUCGUGGGGCCAACAACAGGUGAAACUGCCGCAUGAUCUGAUCUUUCCUCAGCAAAGGAGGGAGGUUAAGAUCAUGCUGGCAGCUUCAACUGAUAGUGGCGCACGUAAUUAACAAGAAGGGAUCAGAUACCCCAUUUUUGCCUCUGGUUCUACUAGGGUUUGAUGGAGAGAAGAGGAUAAAGGAGGGUAUAAAUAGAGGGGGGAUUGGGGGGAAAUGAAGGGAAAUUAUGGUUUUAUUUGGGCACUCAUCAGAAAGAAAAUUAUAUAUUAGAUAAAAACAAAAUGAGAGACGUAAUUAGUGGUCCCCAAGUGAUG